rnacentral:lncRNA from 1 species
AACAAUGACACUCGCUGAUAAAGGACGCGCAUUUGUGUGUGCCCUAAAAAAUAAUGUCAGUUUUGUAAAAUUUGAAGGAUAAAGGACACGCAUUUUGUGCGUGCCCUAAAAUUAUUGUCAGAAAAGAAAAAAAGGUAAUGUGGAGGGCGCCUUUCAUAAAAUGUGCGUCAUCUAAAUGUGUCGCUUUAUAACAUUUUAACGAAACACGCGUUUUUAAGGCGGGAUUUCACCCGCCUAUUGAAUCCCCAAAAUUAAACCCCCCAAGCCUCUUCCAAAAAGCCCUAGGCCUUCAUCUUCAUAUCAGUGUCGCACCACCACCCAACCUCCGAUCUCGCACCGCCAAGUGUCUCCGACCAUCUUCUCCAAGAAUUAUUUCCUGUCGCACUACAUCAAUAAAAAAAUACCCCAUCACUAUUUUAGGUCACCAUUCACCAACAGCCUCAUUAUUCUGAGAGUUUAAAUCGAGUUUUGAUUUGACCAUAAAGUUAAAAUUGAAUCGAAUGUUCAUUCGUCACAAAGUCAUUGGAUAUGGACGACGACGCCUCCGCCUCCGGUCUCUAGUCGAUGACACCGAACGAAGCCUCCUCCUCCGGCCGCUUCCGUCUCCCCCUUCUUUCACGUUGUUUACAAGUACGAUCCAUCAGCCAUGAGACCAGAAAUCAAGAAGAAAGGUGCGUAUAGUUUUAGUUUGUGUUUCUGUUAGGGGAUUUUUUAUACUCCUCAUUUCACCUUUUAUUUUAAAGAAAAUCAUAUUCAUGAAAAUUGUAAUUAUUGAUCGUUGGAAGCAUAAGAGUUGUGGUUGUAGAUCUAGAUUUAGGGAAAAAAGGGCCACUGUGCACAUUUGUGCUUGCAUCGCUUCAUUAUUAGGUCAAGGUGGGCCCGAUGACUGCAAAUUUAUCCCUCAAGCUCCCCCUGGGUCCUCUGGUAAAUCAAAUCCUUUAACCUUUUGUUCAUAACAAAUUCAUACACGAUUAUACAGCAACAAAGAGGUCUUCCUUCGUGAACUUAUCAGGCAAGUUUCAAACUUUUGCAAAUUUCUAGUUUACUUUUAAGCCCUUAUGUUGAUAAUUUAUUCAUCUAACAUUUACAUAAAUCAAAAUCUUUCAUACUUUCAGCAAUGAAAGUGAUUCCUUGGACAAGCUUCGAUUCCUUAGUGUUACAUAUCAACAGCUUUGGAGGGUGCUUCACAACAUGACAUAUGUAUUAAAACCGAUCAAGAAAAUGGAAUAAUUACCAUUCAGUAAGUUAAGAAUCUUACUUAAAAUAAAAUUUAAUUGAAAAUUUACUAAUUUCCAUAUGUGUAUUCAGGGACUCUGGUAUUGGUAUGACUCACCAAGAACUAGUUGACUCUCUUGGAACAAUUGCCCACAGUGGAACUGCAAAGUUUCUAAAAGCAAAGGUAUAUGGUUUUAUGCUUUUAUGAUUUUGUCAACAUAUAUAAAUAUUUUAUUUUGAGAAUUAUAAAUAAUAAUAUACUAACAAAGUUUCUCAAAGCCUUAAAGGUAUAUGCUUUUAUGAUUUUGUCAAAAUAUAUAAAUAUUUUAUUUUGAGAAAUAUAAAUAAUAAUAUACUUACACAAAUCACAAGAUAACAAAGAAGUUGGUUCAGACAAAAUUUUGAUUUAGUGUGGGAUUUUACUCAUUGUGAAUAAUUCAUGUUGUCUGUUUCUGCAUGCAGAUGCAACUUUAGAGAAAUACAUUUGUGUCAGGAAAAGAGAAAAUGGAGCUCCUUUCUUAAUCCCCACAAGAGCAUCUUUUGCCCACUGUGAAACUGCACACAAUAGGGUAUUUCUUUUUACGAAUUUGCCCCUAUUAAGCCUAGUAAGUCAAAAGGAAACAACUUUAUUGCCUUGUAUUCUUACCUGAUGCAUCAGUAUUCUGCUGAUACUUUUCCAGCUCUUCUGUAAUUUCUUUAAUAGAUUUAUUUGCACCAUAUGUUGAAACUAUUUAUUUGCAUGUUAGUAGUGUAUACGGAGGUGAAGAAAGCCUGCAACUUACAUGUCCUGAAAUAGUUUUUGAGCUUAAAUAUCUAUUGGAUUUGUCGACUCUUUGUUGGCAUUUCUCCAAAAAAACAUUUCUCAUGUUUCUAGAGGAAACAGGAUUUUCACCUGAAGAUGUUCUUAUUCAGGAACCCAAAGUUGGAGUAAGUAUUCUCUCUCUCUCUCUCUCUCUCAUGAAUGCUACAAACAUAUGUGUCUCUCUCAAUUCACCUUUUAAAGAACCUGGCACGUAUCUAUAUUGCAGAACCUGUAAGUUUUUCCCCCUUUCUUUUCUGAGUAAACCAUAGGAAAUAACCUACUCCUACUUUAUUACUCUAUAUAGGAUGUACAUGUAACAAUUCUUU